CAGUAGCCGCGGGAAUACGAGGGGGGCAAGCGUUGUUCGGAAUUAUUGGGCGUAAAGGGCGCGUAGGCGGUUUGACAAGUCUUGUGUGAAAUCUCUGGGCUCAACCCAGAGUCUGCACGGGAAACUGUCGGGCUAGAGGAUGGGAGAGGUGAGUGGAAUUUCCGGUGUAGCGGUGAAAUGCGUAGAUAUCGGAAGGAACACCUGUGGCGAAAGCGGCUCACUGGACCAUUACUGACGCUGAGGCGCGAAAGCUAGGGGAGCAAACAGGAUUAGAUACCCCCGUAGUCCCUGUCUCUUAUAC
rnacentral:rRNA from 1 species